rnacentral:rRNA from 1 species
GGUUAAGUGACUAAGCGUAUACGGUGGAUGCCUAGGCAGUUAGAGGCGAUGAAGGACGUGUAAGUCUGCGAAAAGCUGUGGUGAGUUGACAAAACGCAUUUUAGCCACAGAUGUCCGAAUGGGGGAACCCAGUGCAUUUAUGCAUUAUCUGCAACUGAAUACAUAGGUUGUAGAGGCAAAC